rnacentral:misc_RNA from 1 species
CAGGCAUUGUAUGCUUGCCAAGAGAAGGGUUUCCCACUAAUCUAACAUCACUUGAACUCUCUAAUCUUAAGAUCUAUAAGCCAAUGUUGAAGUGGGGAUUGCACAGGAUUGCCAAUCUUAAACGACUCUCUAUCAUGGGUGGAUGUCUAGACAUGGUGUCCUUUCCACAUGAAUAUAUGCUGCCAACCAGCAUAACAAGGCUGACCAUUGGCGAUUUUCCCAGUUUGGAAUACUUAUCCUUCACCUCAAGUAGUUUUCAUAACUUCUCUUCUCUUGAAUAUUUGCGCGUCUCUCAUUGCCCAAAGCUUCUAUCCUUUCCAGAUGAAGGCCUUCCCAUCUCACUCCUG